ensembl:snRNA U6 U6 spliceosomal RNA
GUGACCCCUUCCGCAACACAUGUACUAAAAUUGGGAUGAUACAGGAAAGAUUAGCAUGGCCACUGCGCAAGGAUGUCACGUAAAUGAGUGAAGCGUUCCAUAUUUUU